rnacentral:rRNA from 1 species
AAGGGGGGCGUUCCUAAUCAUGCAAGUCGAGCGAUGGAUUAAGAGCUUGCUCUUAUGAAGUUAGCGGCGGACGGGUGAGUAACACGUGGGUAACCUGCCCAUAAGACUGGGAUAACUCCGGGAAACCGGGGCUAAUACCGGAUAACAUUUUGAACCGCAUGGUUCGAAAUUGAAAGGCGGCUUCGGCUGUCACUUAUGGAUGGACCCGCGUCGCAUUAGCUAGUUGGUGAGGUAACGGCUCACCAAGGCAACGAUGCGUAUCCGACCUGAGAGGGUGAUCGGCCACCUGGGACUGAAACACGGCCCAUACUCCUACGGGAGGCGGCAGUAGGGAAUCUUCCGCAAUGGACGAAAGUCUGACGGAACAACGCCGCGUGAGUGAUGAAGGCUUUCGGGUCGUAAAACUCUGUUGUUAGGGAACAACAAUGCUAUUUUGAAU